GAGUCUUCGGUGUAGGAGUUGUGCUGUAGAUGUAUCAUUUGGGGCUGGAAAUAGCUCUGUCAUUUGAUUUCUAUAUUUUGAGGAGUUGUAUCUUUUUGUAAUGGUCUCCUUCUCCAAUAAAAGAAGCCCCAUUGGAAAGGAAGGAACGCUACACUUGCAUGGGGGUGUAAGGAUGAAUGUGCAGAUUGCCCUUUCUAAUUCGUUGAAGAAUUGAGUUGGAAUUUUGAUGGGGAUUGCAGUGAAUCUGUAGAUUGCUUUUGACAAGAUAGCCAUUACCCAAGAUAUAAGAUACAAUUUGCUAAACGCAUGAAACUCAAGAAGAACGAAGACCAAAGUGUGGACACUUUGCCCCUUCUUAGCAUUGGGAACAAAACACCCAUGGAAGGAGUUACAGAGACAAAGUUUGGAGCUGAGACGAAAGGAUUAACCAUCUAGAGACUGCCAUAUCCGGGGAUCCAUCCCAUAAUCAGCUUCUAAAUGCUGAUACCAUUGCAUACACUAGCAAGAUUUUGCUGAAAGGACCCAGAUAUGGCUGUCUCUUGUGAGACUAUGCCGGGGCCUGGCAAACACAGAAGUGGAUGCUCACAGUCAGCUAUUGGAUGGAUCACAGGGCCCCCAAUGGAGGAGCUAGAGAAAGUACCCAAGGAGCUGAAGAGAUCUGCAAUUCUAUAGUUCCAGGAAAUGGUUAUAUGGCCACAGAAAAUAAAAUAAAAAGAAGUAACAUAAAAUGAAUAUGAAUAACAUGAAUGAAGAAAAAGGAUUUAAGGAGAGAGAGAGAGAUUAGAGAAAGGAUUAAACUUUUGGAGGCAGGAAGAUGGUAACAGGUCAAUAUUUCAGCUCUUCACUUCUAGAAGAAAGUCAUGAAUUUGAACUACACAGACCAUAGAAAACUGAAGAGCAAUCAUUGCCAACACUGAAUUGUCAUGGUCCCUGCCGUAUGUCUUUAUCAAGAAGACUACAUUUAGCCUAAUCAUCUGACAAGCGUUGAAGAAACUUUAUCAUUUAUGUUUUACAAACUCCAUGGUUGAUGAUGAGAAGAAAUAGAAAAAGGCAAGUCAGAGUUUCCAGAGUCAGCAAAUUUGAGGACAAGGAGAUCACUCAGACCAGCCAAGCAGACAGUAAAUGAAUCCCUGUAUUGUUCUAUUUUUUUUUCUCCUUCUACAAAUCAUUUCCUCAUUUUAAGUAAAGAAGGAAAUAGAAGGCUGAGAACUUUGGCUGGAACUGGCUUUUUCAAAGCAUUUCUCACAAAUGUGAAGAGGAACCGGGGGUUGCAAGGUUCUGUAGGAAGAGCGAUGUAGCCUCGGCCACACGGAGAUGAAAGAGCCACAUUUUCCUAAGUAUUUCUUCUGUGAUUGGAGUUUCAAAGGAUUUAAAAGGGCAGCGGGGCGGAUGCUUGCUUUGUGACAAUGUAGUUCUGGCUGGGAAGCAGUGUGCUUAGAGAAAUCAAGUAGAAUGCUUCACAAAGUGGAAAAAGAUUGGUAAACUGCAUGCAGACAGGAAGAACACAGGAGUUAUCUCCAAACCAAUGCCCUCCAAAUGAAGGAAGUAUUGCGACUGUAUUUUGGAGGAAUCUAUAUUAAUUUAAGAAUGCAUUUUAUGGGAUGUAAAAAUUCUUUCUGGCUUUGGAGUUUCAUGACAAAAGGUGAAAGGUGUGGUGCAGAGGUCAGGGCAGUUGCCUGAAAUGAAGACCUGAGUUCCAUUGCCUGAAUCCACAAGAUGGAAAGGACUUGACCCUCCACAUCCACAGGGGUGCUAUGGCAUGCAUCUCCCCACAACCCUGCAAAAUAAUACAUGUAAAACAUUUUUUUUGAAAAGAAAAUCGAUUUCU